AGUACUAGAACAAUAAGAAAAUUUGUUAAUGAUCUGUUUUAUUUUCGAAUCAAAUUUUAUAAUAUUGCCAUGUUGAAGUAACGUGUUACUGCUUACGUGGACGCAUCGGAGUGACAUCGAGCAUCGUAGUAGUCAUGUUGUGGUGUGGAACGGAACGGCCCGUCGUACCAAAUACAAAUAAUAAUACCCCUAAGAGCAAAUUCAGCAGCUGCAAGAUUCAUAUGGGUGGUCUAUAAUGUAAAUGAAACUGAAACAAACGUAUCCCCAGUAAUCCGUUUUAGUUUUAUUUAUUCGACCAGUUCUACUGUCAAAUUUAAAACUGGUAUACAUUGCCGUUCUACUUUUUCUAUAUUUGAAACACAGAUAAAACGCUGCUGGGGCUGCCAGUUUAUUUUGUUAUAAUUUCUUGAUUUAAAUUUUAAAACUGACAUAAAUUAUGCAUCUAGAACUAGAACACUCCUGAAUAUGCCCUAAGUCCCAUACAAACGAACCGCCAAUGUUUGGUUCACAGCCUGAACAAGUAAGCCUACACUGAAAAUAAUCCUCACGCUCAAUCCAAGUGCGUGCUGCAUUUGAACGUUCAAACGCGUAUAGCACUUCGUAUUCAAGUGUUUUUCUCAUAACUAAUAUGAACUCAAUACAUCCAAUUCAACAGUUUUGGCAUGUACACAGAAUUCAAUACAUGGGAUCUUGAGUGUCGUAUGCAACAAUCACCACUUCUAAAUGCUCUGAUAGUUUGAAAAAAAUAAAAUUGAUAACAUUAGAAUCUAUAUGUUGCACACAUUUUUCUCAAAUGGACCGCACGUUCCAAUCAAAUGCACACGUGUAUUCAAUUUUAAAUACAUUUAACACUUGGAGUUUGAAUACUUUUGUUUUUAAAUUCAUGUGCCAUACACUUUGUUUUUUAUGGAUCAUGGUGCUAUAAUUGAAAAAGCACCCUGUGCUUAAUGGAAUCAAAAUGGCUGAAAACAAACCACCACAGUCUCUUGCAUUCGAAAAGUUUAAAUCAAUCAUCGGUUUUCCGGAACAUAUUUGCAGAAUUCUUUUGGAUCGAAAUAAUAACCCAGAUGAUGGAACGUAGAUUUUUCACAUUUUAGCCAAUUCGCAGUUAGCGCAAUCGGUAUCAAACGAGACAGAAAAUUCAACCACGAUUAUAUUCGAGAAAGACGAAUUUCCGUCGUUCGAAGCACCGGAACCUGGUUCGUCGCCUGCGAAAGCAACAGAACCAGCUGCUCGUUCAUCAGAAACCGUUCCAAUAGAUUUUGAACUUGAGAGUACAGAAGAUUUUGUUUUGGAUGAUGUACCAACUACUUCCGGAUUGUCUUCGAAUUCGUUUCCCGAAGAGACGGACUGCGGCAACAGCAACUUGUAGAACUGACACCUACAAUUUUAGUACAUGCAUUAAGAAGCAGUAUUUUGGGACAAGUAUUAUUAAAACUUGGAAAGCAAGGGUCACCCUUAUCCGAAGCUCGUAAAUUAGAACUUGCUGGAAUUGUUGCUGAAUGGCACCUAGUCAAUCGCUCGAAAACAACCGAGAAUGAUCUUCAGUCUGGCAUUACCCCAACACUAAAAGAUAACUGUAUCAAUUUCUAUAUUUAAUUACACACUAAGAAAAGUCUACAUCUUUAUAGAUGCACAUAAAUGGAGCGUCACGAUUCACUUACAUUUACGAUUCAAAACAUGUAAAGAUAAGUCAUAUCAGUGACUUCACAGUUAAUGUAGCUUAAGCUUACAUCGAUAUAGACGCGAAGUUUAUUUUUACAUGUUAGUAGAUGUAAUAUUGUGCCAUCACCGAAGAAAUUAUGGCAUGUUUGAGUUUACGUCAAGCGUAAAUUUCAUUUUUUCUAAGAGUAUAGUUUAACUUUUUUACAGAAUUCUUAUUAUCUUCCCAGAGGAGGAGAUGAGAGAAACCUUGGAGGGAAAAUCUAUAAAAUCUAUAAAAAGAGUGGUCCUUUAAGUAACAUGAUGUGUUUUCGUUUCGAAGCAACACACAAACAGUUCAAACAAUACGCCCACAUGACUUUAUCUCGAAAAAAUAUUUGUUACACCAUAGCAGUUAAAGCCUCGAUACAGUUUAGUUUCGAUCUAUGUGAAAAUAUUUUUUUUUUCAAAAAUACUUGAAAGACUUGAAAGCAAGAUACUAUUAUCAGAAAUUGAUAUGUUUUGAUUUGACGAAUUUCGACUUAGGUGUUUUAUAUACCCACCAUUGCAAGCAUUUCGGUACAGUUUAUAAGCGUGAUCUAUUCCUAACCACAACGAGAAAUGGUGUAACUGAACUAUAUAAAAUUGAAGAAAUAAUUAAAUCCAAAUCAUGUUUGUUCAUUGUUGGUGUAUUGUGGCAAUGUGUUAUGUUUAAUGAGCAUUAUCAAGCCUUUACGGUAAUAAAACGCACGCAUUUAUAUUUCAUAAAACCUUUAGAUGCAUUUGACGGUCCACCUGUAACAGUACA